rnacentral:rRNA from 1 species
UGGGGGAUAUUGCACAAUGGGGGAAACCCUGAUGCAGCGACGCCGCGUGUAGGAAGACGGUCCUCUGGAUUGUAAACUACUGUCUUCGGGGACGAUAAUGACGGUACCCGAGGAGGAAGCUCCGGCUAACUACGUGCCAGCAGCCGCGGUAAUACGUAGGGAGCGAGCGUUGUCCGGAAUUACUGGGCGUAAAGGGAGCGUAGGUGGACUUUUAAGUGAGAUGUGAAAUCCCCGGGCUCAACCUGGGAACUGCUUUUGAAACGGUCAUGCUUGAAUCAUGGAGAGGGUAGCGGAAUUCCGAGUGUAGAGGUGAAAUUCGUGGAUAUUCGGAAGAACACCGGUGGCGAAGGCGGCUACCUGGCCAUGUAUUGACGCUCAGGUGCGAAAGCGUGGGGAGCAAACA